rnacentral:rRNA from 1 species
CUGAUGGGCAACGAAGGCCCUCGUCUAUGAAUAUUUUUACAAACGCUCAAAGUAUGACAGAAUGUAUAUCAUAUUGCGUCUGAUAAACGUGACAAAUACAACUUUCCACAACGGAUCUCUUGGCUCUCGCAUCGAUGAAGAACGCAGCGAAAUGCGAUAAGUAAUGUGAAUUGCAGAAUUCAGUGAAUCAUCGAAUCUUUGAACGCACCUUGCGCUCCUUGGUAUUCCGAGGAGCAUGCCUGUUUGAGUGUCAUGAAAUUCUCAACUGCCCCAGGCUUUGUGGCCUGCGGGUGAAGUUGGACUUGGAGGUAUGCUGGCGCAUGAAUGGGCUUUUGUGCCCCGUCUCGCUUGUUGGCUCCUCUCGAAUGCAUGAGCUUUCCAAUCCUUGGCAAAGUAUCGUCGAUGUGAUAAUUGUCUACGUCGCCUGAGAAAGCCGAAAAGGGGAAAUCUUUGAUCACGCUGGGGUGACCUGCGUCUGACAAAUUCGACCUCAAAUCAGGUAGGACUACCCGCUGAACUUAAGCAUAUCAAUAAGCGGAGGAAAAGAAACUAACAAGGAUUCCCCUAGUAACUGCGAGUGAAGCGGGAAAAGCUCAAAUUUAAAAUCUGGCGGCCUCCGGU